UGGGGCGUCGCCAAGCGGUAAGGCACCGGUUUUUGGUACCGGCAUUCGGAGGUUCGAAUCCUCCCGCCCCAGCCA
rnacentral:tRNA from 3 species